AUUUAUGAAGAUGCUUAUGACAAACUUUCUCCAGAAAAUGAGCCUGAUUUGAAAAAGCGGAUCCGUGUGCACUUGCUCAAUGCCCAUGGCCUGGAUGAAGCUGGCAUUGAUGGUGGUGGUAUUUUCAGAGAGUUUUUAAAUGAACUACUGAAGUCAGGAUUUAACCCCAACCAGGGGUUCUUUAAGACUACUAAUGAAGGGCUUCUGUACCCCAACCCGGCUGCUCAGAUGCUUGUGGGAGAUUCUUUUGCCAGACAUUACUACUUCCUAGGCAGAAUGCUUGGAAAGGUAAAGUAACCUUCAUAUAAAAAUAGACCUCGGACCAAAAGAUGUUGACAUUUUAUGUUUAUGUGUGGUUGUUAUCCAAGUUUACCAUAAAAUACUGUUUGUUUUAAAUUUGGAUGCUAAAUGUUGCAAAAGCACUGCAUGAAACAAACUUGUAUGGUUGUAAGUAGGUGCUAUGGUUUGAAUGUCCCCUCCAAACUCAUGUUGAAACUUGAUCCCCAGUGUGCCAGUAUUGAGAGGUGGAAUCUUUAAGAGGUGAUUAGAUCAUGUGAGCUCGGCCGUCAUGAAUGGAUGAGUGGGUUUAUUGUGGGAAGGGCUCUGGUGACUUUUUACAGGAGGGAGCCCCUAGCCUUGUGAUGCCCUGUGCCGCCUCCAGACUCUGCAGAGUCCCCACCAAUGAGAAAGCCUCACCAGGGGCUGCCUCUGGACCGUGGGCUCCUGGCCUUCCAGCUGUAAGAAAUGGAUUUCAGUUUUUAUUAAUUACUCAGUUUC
rnacentral:sRNA from 1 species